CUUGAUGAUUGGUGUUUCGUAGUCUCUUGUUAAACCUUACGAGCGUUUUUGUAACUUUGAUCGUUUAGUAAAUAUAAAGGUUAUUUAGAAAAACAGUUAUGAAUUGGACUACAAAAAUCGGCAUUUCUUGGUUAUUUAUAAGUGUGACAGGCUUUGCUUCCUAUUACUACACAGUACUUCAAGUGAAAGAAAAGAAAAAAGUGCAGAUGAAAUUGAGAAGACAAUUUAAAAAGGAAUUAGCAAUUCAAGAAAAGGAAGAAGCGGAACAAAAACAAAAGCAACAGCAACAGAACACCUGAAAAUGUUAACAAAAUUAUAGAAUUGUGUGAUAGUUUAAAACAAUUUAUGUGAUAGUAGAUGUACCAAUGGCUAUCAAAAGCAGAAUAUAUAAUGUAUAAAGACCAAAUGGCAGCCAAUGAAACUAAAUUAUGUUAAAACAUUAAAUAAAGUCAUAAACAGUUUUUAAAAAAAUAUGGUGGAUACAUCUUCCCAUCUACCUAAAUAUGUAUUGAAAAAAAUCCAAAAAUAAUGUUAUGUAACUGUAUUGUGGUGAUAAUAUAGUGUCUUAAUAUUAAAGCUGAUAUGCAUUGUACAUGGACUUUACUUGCCAAUUUUUGCAUAUAUUAUGUUGAGGUUAUGAACGCAAGGUUGAGUCUGAGUAUGGAAUUGUUAAAGCCUUGAAAUUAAAAUGGAAAAGAUGA